GUUUGUGUGUGAUGAGGAAAAUAUCACACAGUUAUCCCUAUCUGAUGCAUUUUUGUGUUGAUUACAUGUGAUCUGACACAAAC